UACGAGGGGGGCAAGCGUUGUUCGGAAUUAUUGGGCGUAAAGAGCUCGUAGGCGGCCUGUUGCGUCCGCUGUGAAAGCCCGGGGCUUAACCCCGGGUCUGCAGUGGAUACGGGCAGGCUAGAGGUAGGUAGGGGAGAAUGGAAUUCCCGGUGUAGCGGUGAAAUGCGCAGAUAUCGGGAGGAACACCGGUGGCGAAGGCGGUUCUCUGGGCCAUUACUGACGCUGAGGAGCGAAAGCGUGGGGAGCGAACAGG
rnacentral:rRNA from 1 species